ACACUCCUGCGGGAGGCAGCAGUGGGGAAUUUUGGACAAUGGGCGAAAGCCUGAUCCAGCAAUGCCGCGUGAGUGAAGAAGGCCUUCGGGUUGUAAAGCUCUUUUGUCAGGGAAGAAACGGUGAGAGCUAAUAUCUCUUGCUAAUGACGGUACCUGAAGAAUAAGCACCGGCUAACUACGUGCCAGCAGCCGCGGUAAUACGUAGGGUGCAAGCGUUAAUCGGAAUUACUGGGCGUAAAGCGUGCGCAGGCGGUUUUGUAAGUCUGAUGUGAAAUCCCCGGGCUCAACCUGGGAAUUGCAUUGGAGACUGCAAGGCUAGAAUCUGGCAGAGGGGGGUAGAAUUCCACGUGUAGCAGUGAAAUGCGUAGAUAUGUGGAAGAACACCGAUGGCGAAGGCAGCCCCCUGGGUCAAGAUUGACGCUCAUGCACGAAAGCGUGGGGAGCAAACAGGAUUAGAAACCCGAGUAGUCCCAUGAU
rnacentral:rRNA from 1 species